AGCUCAAGAAUGUAGAAUCAACAAAUGUCAAUGCCAAAUAGACUCCCUCCUGUUCUUAAGAACCUAUUAAAUUUGAGGUAUACCUGGACCUCACCCAUUCCUCUCCCUUCCCAUCCUCCUUAAUCUUAUGUUUGGCCUAAAGAAAGAAUCAUGGUAAAACAUCCAAAACCCUCAAGACUGGCCGAGGGAACACAGGAAGAUUGCUGAAUUCCUGGUGAUAUUAUGGUUCCUGAGUCUUCUGCCGUGCUUCUUUGCUCCAAUUGGUAUCAUCCCAAUAUAUGUGUAUUCACUUGCGCUUUAUGGGUUUAUGCACUUCUUUCUUAUCAACCCCCCAAAAAACUUUCUACUAUAAAUCCAGAUUUUGGUUGUUUAAACUUCUGAACCAGAAUUUUGCAACAGAAAUACAUACAGAGUGCAAGCCACUGUUCAGUGCAUUCCUGCUUGGCUUCGCUUCAUCCAGUGCCUGUGCUGGUACCGUGACACAAGAAGAGCCUUUCCUCUUCCAGUAAAUGCUGCCUGGCAAAUACUCUACAACUUUCUUCACCCUGACAUUUCCAGCCCUUUACAACACUCACGAAGGUAGGCUGAGUUCUCCCAUCUGAGCCCUUACUACUGCAUUCUGUUGCCCUGGACUCUGCCGUCGCUGCUGCAGGUUCUGCUGAGGCUUCAGUACCUGGACAUCUCACUUUAGCCUUGAAUAUAGUUUUAAUCUCAUUUCAAUUAACAGUUAUUAUCACUAAGAUUUUCAGUCAAUUGAUUAGAAUUGUGAUGCUGUUUCAAUCCUGUCUGCUGCUCAGUGUCUUUAACCUAUGGGUGCGUUGGGUUUUAAUUUAGUGGUUUAGAGUGUUUUUUUUUUCUGUUCGUUUUUGAGGAUUUUUUGUUGUUUUUCCUUGGGGGGGUUGGGGAGGUUGAAAUUUCCUUGUUUAUUAGUGAGGUUAAGAAAUGGUUAGGUGCACAAGAAUCCCUCUUCCAACCAAUUAUUUAAUAUUUAAGUAUUUUCUUUGAUGAACAUGUAAGGAUUGUUUACAGCCCAUUUAACUGCAAAUUGAGUUCUCUGAUCGCUUCAGUUUCUCAUUUCUAUGGAAUCCUGCUAUGACUUGCUACUGUUGGGAAUAGAAAAAAAAAAGUCUUUUAAGUUUAGAACCAAAUGCAGACACUCAGUUUGAAUUUUUACCAUCUCCCAUGAACUGUCAGUGAUUUUCCAUCCUUGCACUAAAAUGUAUUCCUUCUUUGUCUGCUGAGUAGAGAGUAUCAGCCCACACCUUACAAAGUGCAAAGAGCUUUGACUAAUGCAGAUUAGUAAAGAGCUUUUUAAAUACGCACGUAAAUUGUUCUCAGUAAACUUUUCUGUGCGGCUCUAUUGGGAGAUAUAUUCAGAAGUACAAAACUACUGUUGCUGUAAUAUGUAUCUGAUGCCAUGUCAGAUGAGGUCACUGUUAGUUCCGUGAUAUUGGUGUCCCUGAACUUUCACAGUAUGACAUAGGGUCUGUGCUAGAAUAGUAUUGAUAAAUAUAGCCAUUCUUAUUAAGUGUUAGAAUUUAAUUGAGUACCUCAGUGAAGGAAACACAUCCACAGGAAUUCCAUAAUUUUAGUUCUUGCUAAGGAAUGCCAGUACUCAA